rnacentral:tRNA from 1 species
UGCUAAAUAAUAUAACAUAUUAUAUAUGACUGUUACUCAUAAAAUUUCUUAAGAAUUUGGCAU